GGUGCGAGGUAAGUGAAGUUAUAAAAAACAAAAAAAGGUGCGAGGUAAGUGAAGGUAUAAAAAAGGUGUGAGGUAAGUGAAGGUAUAAAAAAGGUGCAAGGUAAGUGAAGGUAUAAAAAGGUGCGAGGUAAGUGAAGGUAUAAAAAAACAAAAAAGGUGCGAGGUAAGUGAAGGUAUAAAAAACAAAAUAAGGUGCGAGGUAAGUGAAGGUAUAAAAACAACAGCAAAAAGGUGUGAGGUAAGUGAAGGUAACAAAACAAACUAAAACAAAACAAACAAAAAGGGUGCGAGGUAAGUGAAGGUAUAAAAAACAAACAAAAAGGUACGAGGUAAGUGAAGGUAAAAAACAAACAAAAACAAAAAGGUGCGAGGUAAGUGAAGGUAUAAAAAACAAACAAAAAGGUACGAGGUAAGUGAAGGUAAAAAACAAACAAAAACAAAAAGGUGCGAGGUAAGUGAAGGUAUAAAAAACAAACAAAAACAAAACAAACAAAAAGGUGCGAGGUAAGUGAAGGUAUAAAAAACAAACAAAAACAAAACAAACAAAAAGGUGCGAGGUAAGUGAAGGUAUAAAAAAACAAACAAAAAGGUGCGAGGUAAGUGAAGGUAUAAAAAAGGUGCGAGGUAAGUGAAGGUAUAAAAAACAAAAAAGGUGCGAGGUAAGUGAAGGUAACAAAAAAAGGUGCGAGGUAAGUGAAGGUAAAAAAACAAACAAAAACAAAACAAACAAAAAGGUGCGAGGUAAGUGAAGGUAACAAAACAAACAAAAACAAAACAAACAAAAAGGUGCGAGGUAAGUGAAGGUAACUAAACAAACAAAAACAAAACAAACAAAAAGGUGCGAGGUAAGUGAAGGUAACUAAACAAACAAAACAAACAAAAAGGUGCGAGGUACGUGAAGGUAACAAAAUAAACAAAAACAAACAAAAAAUGCGAGGUAAGUGAAGGUAAAAAACAAACAAAAAACAAACAAACAAAAUGAUGCGAGGUAAGUGAAGGUAACAAAACAAACAAAAAGGUGCGAGGUAAGUGAAGGUAACAAAACAAACAAAAAGGUGCAAGGUAAGUGUAACAAAACAAACAAAAUGGUGCGAGGUAAGUGAAGGUAACAAAACAAACAAAAAGGUGCAAGGUAAGUGAAGGUAAAAAAAAGGUGCAAGGUAAGUGAAGGUAAAAACAAACAAAAACAAAACAAACAAAAAGGUGCGAGGUAAGUGAAGGUAACAAAACAAACAAAAACAAAACAAACAAAAAAAUGUGAGGUAAGUGAAGGUAACAAAACAAACAAAAACAAAACAAACAGAAAAAAACGAGGUAAGUGAAGGUAAAAAAACAAACAAAAACAAAACAAACAAAAAGGUGCGAGGUAAGUGAAGGUAACAAAACAAACAAAAGGUGCGAGGUAAGUGAAAAUAACAAAACAAACAAAAACAAAACAAACAAAAAGGUGCGAGGUAAGUGAAGGUAACAAAACAAACAAAAACAAAACAAACAAAAAAAAUGUGAGGUAAGUGAAGGUAACAAAACAAACAAAAACAAAACAAACAGAAAAAAACGAGGUAAGUGAAGGUAAAAAAACAAACAAAAACAAAACAAACAAAAAGGUGCGAGGUAAGUGAAGGUAACAAAACAAACAAAAGGUGCGAGGUAAGUGAAAAUAACAAAACAAACAAAAACAAAACAAACAAAAAGGUGCGAGGUAAGUGAAGGUAACUAAACAAACAAAAACAAAACAUACAAAAAGGUGCGAGGUAAGUGAAGGUAACAAAACAAACAAAAAGGUGUGAGGUAAGUGAAGGUAACUAAACAAACAAAUUUGUCUGCCAAUCAAGUGGAAAAAGGUAAGUGAAAAGCAGGUAAGUGGAAAAAGUGCCUGCCAACCAAGAGCCUGCACACGUCAUUCCUGCUAACCAAGAGCCUGCCCACGUCAUGCUUGCCAACCAAGAGUCUGCUCAAGUCAUGCCUGUCAACCACAAGCCUGCUCACGUCAUGCCUGCCAACCAAGAGUUUUGCUCAAGUCAUGCCUGCCAACCAAGAGCCUGCUCACGUAAUGCCUGCCAACCAUGAGCCUGCUCAUGUCAUGCCUGUCAACCACAAGCCUGCUAACAUCAUCCCUGCCAACCAAGAGCCUGCUCACGUCAUGCCUGUCAACCAAGAGCCUGCACACGUCAUGCCUGCCAACCAAGAGCCUGCCCACGUCAUGCUUGCCAACCAAGAGUCUGCUCAAGUCAUGCCUGUCAACCACAAGCCUGCUCACGUCAUGCCUGCCAACCAAGAGUUUUGCUCAAGUCAUGCCUGCCAACCAAGAGCCUGCCCACGUCAUGCUUGCCAACCAAGAGUCUGCUCAAGUCAUGCCUGUCAACCACAAGCCUGCUCACGUCAUGCCUGCCAACCAAGAGUCUUGCUCAAGUCAUGCCUGCCAACCAAGAGCCUGCUCACGUAAUGCCUGCCAACCAAGAGCCUGCUCACGUCAUGCCUGUCAACCAAGAGCCUGCACACGUCAUGCCUGCCAACCAAGAGCCUGCCCACGUCAUGCUUGCCAACCAAGAGUCUGCUCAAGUCAUGCCUGUCAACCACAAGCCUGCUCACGUCAUGCCUGCCAACCAAGAGUUUUGCUCACGUCAUGCCUGCCAACCAAGAGUUUUGCUCAAGUCAUGCCUGCCAACCAAGAGCCUGCCCACGUCAUGCUUGCCAACCAAGAGUCUGCUCAAGUCAUGCCUGUCAACCACAAGCCUGCUCACGUCAUGCCUGCCAACCAAGAGUUUUGCUCACGUCAUGCCUGUCAACCAAGAGCCUGCUAACAUCAUCCCUGCCAACCAAGAGCCUGCUCACGUAAUGCCUGCCAACCAAGACCCUGCUCACGUAAUGCCUGCCAACCAAGACCCUGCUAACAUCAUCCCUGCCAACCAAGAGCCUGCUCACGUCAUGCCUGCCAAUCAAGACCCUGCCCACGUCAUGCCUGCCAACUAAGAGCCAGCUCACGUCAUGCCUGCCAACCAAGACCCUGCCCACGUCAUGCCUGCCAACCAAGACCCUGCCCACGUUAUGCCUGCCAACCAAGAGCCUGCCCACGUCAUGCCUGCCAACCAAGAGCCUGCCCACGUCAUGCCUGCCAACCAAGAGCCUGCCCACGUCAUGCCUGCCAACCAAGAGCCUGCUCACCUCACGCCUGCCAACCAAGAGCCUGCUCACGUCAUGCCUGCUAUCCAAGAGCCUGCUCAUGUCAUGCCUGCCAACCAAGAGCCUGCUCACGUCAUGCCUGUUAACAAAGAGCCUGCUCAUGUCAUGCCUGCCAACCAAGACCCUGUCCACCUCAUGCCUGUUAACAAAGAGCCUGCUCAAGUCAUGCCUACCAACCAAGAGCCUGCUCACGAAAUGCCUGCCAACCAUGAGCCUGCUCACAUCAUGCUUGCCAACCAAGAGCCUGCUUACGUCAUGCCUGCCAACCAAGAGCCUGCACACGUCAUGCCUGCCAACCAAGUCCAAGAGCGUGCUCACCUCAUGCCUGCCAACCAAGAGCCUGCUCAACGUCAUGCCUGCCAAGCCAGAGCAUUUUUUACUCAUGAAAAAAGGUAAGUAGUAAAAGGUAAGUAAAGGUAAAAAAGGUGCAAGGUAAGUGAAGGUAAAAAAGGUGCGAGGAAUGUGAAGGUAAAAAAUAAGUGUGAGGUAAGUGAAGGUAAAUGUUAUGACGUUGGUUUGAUCGGCUGCUCUGUUUCUGUGUUUUCAUUGUGUUUAUGUUUUACAGCUCUGCUCAUGCGCAUCUGUCACCCGGGUGCUUCAUCUUCGUGAUUUCCUACACCUACGGCCCCUACAAAGAGAUAUUCAGUAUGUUGUUUCGAGUCCUCUUAAGUCGUCUUGAUUCAAUAGCUUUGUGCAAAAGCUUUAAGUUAUUUACUGAAACAAUUUCCUGCAUCGUAGCUUAGUUUCUAAGUGAAGUGUUUUUUUAAAAUGUCUAAAUAAGUUAUUUCAACAAAUUAUUUCCUCAGGGCCAUCCCUUCAUGGAGUCUCUCCGAGAGAAUCGGCCCCUGCUAUGGAGCAUCGGUUUAUCAGGGCUUGCCAUAGUUGGGCCGUUGUCGGGGUCAUCACCUGAAUUCAAUGAGCAAUUUGCCUUAGUAGACAUUCCAACUGAGUUUAAGUUAAUAAUAGCCAAGGUCUUGGUUUUGGAUUUUGUCGCCGCCCUGCUGGUGGACAGAGUUCUGCAGUUCCUGCUGGGUAAAGGAACCCUGAGGUUGCCUAAGUGAACUUUUAUGGCUGACAGUCACCGAAGCAGCUUCUGCCCCUAGUGACCAGUCUCUGAACAGGAUUUACAGGACUACGGUACUUGAACGGUGGCAUUUCUGCGAGAUCCAAAAGGAGGAGCGUCAACUCAUUACUAUAACACACCUCAGUGAGAGUGUGUUUUUAGUGCGGUUAAAGAGCAUGCAGCUGUGCCAGGGGCAUUCUGAAGACAAACUUUAAAGUGUUUGUUUUUUGUUAUCUUUUCAUUUUGUAAAAAGACAGAUCUGUGAAAAAACUUAUAAAUGAGUAAAAAAUGCUGUUGAUGUGUUUUUAUUUAGCUGCAUAGCUUCUUUGGUGUCAAUAAGUGUUUUAUAUAAAUAUGGUAUAUCACCAUAGUUUUCUAUUACAUAAUUACAGUCUAUAUUGUAUCAAACUACCACAGUAUUACCAUCUAAUAACAUCAAUGAAUCAUGGUACUGCUACAGACAUUUGUUCACCUUUUAAUGGCUCAAGUUAGUGAUAAGCUUAGAUUUUAUGGGAAACAAAAUGCAUAAUUUGACUGUGGUCACUUGGAGCCUUACAAUUCAUACAUUAUGAUGCAAAUAAUAUCAAUAUGAUACACAACAAUACAACAUACACUGAAACAUACUGUGAAUGGUGUCAUAUACAGUGGUGUUAAAACUAGCAGUGCUACAUCAUUAACCUGAUUAUUAGGAUUAGUAAUAUUACUGCAUUGGAAAUUAUUGCAGAUGUAGGAGUGUAAUACAAAUACAAUAGACUCAUUGGUAAUGAUAUCCUCACUACUUGUUCUGAGUUAUAAACUCGAAAAUGGCAUGAUCAAAAUAAUAGCAGUGUGAAGUUAAAUUUGAAUAUUAGUUAAUUCUGUGAAAAAACAUCUAAUUUUUGUCCUUUAUUAAGAAGGAGGGGGGAGCAAAUGUUUUGCCUAUUGUUAUAAAAUAUAUCUGCUGCUGAAUUUCUAAGUAAAAUGGAAUGUUCCCUCAUUGCUCAGGAACAACCCUGAUCCAUGUUCCCGAUAGGCUCAACAUGUAGUAUGUAAAACAUCCCCAUACCAUGAUUUUUGCCCAUUCAUGCUUAACUUUUUACAGUGUACUACGUAAUAACGUCGAAUGGUUACACAUCACAAAUGUGAAACGCACAUUUGUGGACCAUUUUAAAUAAUAAACGGACCCAAAGACAUUAAUUAGUAUCAUUCCACAUACAGCAACAUCUGAACGCUCCUCUUUCUUUUCACUUGUAAACACUGGAGCGGUAGUUUCAAUUAUGUCAUGCUAGCGUGUCACACAGCUAGUGCAAAACGUUGUGAUUUAAAAGUCCUCUUUUCUUUUUCUUUUUGAAAAUGACAAUCGUUUAGCUAGAUAAGACCCUUAUGCCUUAUUUGGGAUCAUUUAGAGCCCUUUUAAAUCUGCAUUGAAACUGUAAACUUGAGGUCGAAUAAAGUCUUAAAUUGAGCAAAA